CUUUGGGCCCUCUGUAAUAACCGCCCGUUAACCCCGUCAGAUCAGGAAUGAAGCAGCGGUCCGCGUCAGCGUUAUGUCAGGGGAAGUCUAGAGGCU
rnacentral:SRP_RNA from 1 species